AAGAAGUGCUGCAGUGGCUCCACCUCUCGCUCCUUUUGCGCUGAGCCGCGGGUCUGAUGUGGCGGGAGGAGAUGGCGCUCUUAUCGUGGCCUCUGUGCAGACCAGAUGGCGGCCGCGUGUCUCCACAUGUUUUCGGCGGUGACACAAGAGUAAGCAUUCAGGAGCAGCUCGACAUGUGGGAUGAACACACUGAGGACUCAUCAUAUCCCGAUGGACUCUGCGUGGGAGAACUUAACGAGAGAGCUGUACGCAACUGACGGGGAGCAGCACUUCCUCACAAAGCAAGAGGAUGGUUGAGGUAAAGAUUCGCUGGCACACCUGAUCUAUUUUUGUGUGAAAUGCUGCCACCAUGCAGUGAAUUGGGGGCUCAAAAAUAAAGCCUAUAUAUGCCACCAGCAGCUGUUACGAAGAUCAAGAUGUAAUUGGACCUGACCUUGACAGAAAAACAGACGCCAGUGGGCCUUAAUACUAGAAUAGGCUUGGUAGUUAAAGGAGUUAAUGUAAUUCCAUUUUGGAACUGAGAACAUGGAGGAUGAGGCAGAUGCUUCCACCACUCCUAAAUCGCUCUCGUGGCCCACUGCAGAGGAUCCAGAGGUGAAUGAGUAACCAGGGACUUCUGCUGCAUCCAACCCACCAGCUGCCGAACCAGUUGGUGUCCAGACACCAUUCCAGAGCCCUGAUCACCCGGCGACUGAGUAUGCCAUCCACUGCGGCAGCUAUAGGCCAAAGAGUUCUGGAAUACAUCUUGGAAGCUGUCUGAGAAUGAUGCUGUCCUUUCCCUCAGAAGUCGGGCAUCUCAGCUCCUGGCAAUUCCUGCAAUUGUAAAGAACACAAGGAAUGGACAUUAGACCAGUGGAAAUCUGUGCUUUUGGUCUGAGUCCAAAUUUGAGAUCUUUGGUUCCAACCACCGUGUCUUUGUGCAACGCGGAAAAGGUGAAUGGAUGGACUCUACAUGCCUGGUUCCCACCGUGAAGCAUGGAGGAGGAGGUGUGAUGGUGUGGGGGUGCUUUGCUGGUGACACUGUUGGGGAUUUAUUCAAUUGAAGGCAUACUGAACCAGCAUAUGGGAACUUUUUAUGUUGCAGUAUUGUCAUGUAAUCUGUCCACAAUCAUAUAUUUAUAAAAAAAAAUAAUAAUAAAGAUUGAAGUUAUAA